UUGAAAUCCUGCCUCUUCUUGCAGUGCACGUGAACUGAGCACUUAAGGUAAAUACUUCUAUUUCAAUAAGAGUUUGCUGAGAUAGGGACACACAAGUGGAAAUGUGAGUCUGCUCCUGAUGCUUUAAUUUCCCUCAUAUUGAUCCUCCAUACUGUGGAAAUUCAAGAAGAGAAAGGCACGUUAGAUCAAAUAAACCAUUUCCCUCUUGUAGGAGAUUGUCUCACACACUUAUUAUGGAAACUAGUCCUGGAGAGCCUCUGAUCCAUUCCUUUCCACAAUCUUCUAUUUCUUUCUUCAUUUCUCUCCUUAUUCUCUCAUUAUACCUGCGUUUGUAUUAUUGUUUUAAUAGCAAGUUGAAAGCGCAUCUUUGGUACUGAGUUAAAAUAACUUCUCUGCCUUUGAACUGCAGCCAAAAGGCUCUAAAGGGUUCAUUAGGUUCUGCAGCUGCCUCAGGGCCAGAUCUUUAAUACUGGUUGACAAAGAAAUGGAAAGCGAGCUCUACAAAUAAAGCUGACAAAGUUGUCCGCAUUUCUGAGGACUUGUAGGUGCAAUGUCUCACUGUUCAAAAGGCACAAAUCCAUCUGGCUAUCUCACUGUAUCCAACAGUUUGUAGAAUUCUGGUUUUAUGACCCGUUUCUAUUUUGUUUUUUACUUUUUUGUCACGGUUCUCAAUCAAAUAACCAGUGCCUGUACUCUGAGCAUCAGUGCCUUGUUCCAUUUUGUCAUUCUAUCUGGGAAGCUAUUGGAAAAUAAUUCUGAAUCAUUUGCGUAAUUAUUUUCUGAUUUAGCUUUUCCAUGGAAAGUAAAGGCUGAAUAUAUUAAGGUGACUUAGAAAUGUUGAGCAUUUGGAAUACAAAGUCCUUUUUGUUUUUCCCAAUAAUUUUAAUCAUCAUGACUGCAUCUUGCCAUUGAGGGCAACAUUUUCAUGUUGGUUUAGAUACUUAUUUUCUUAUGUUGGUAGUUUGGCUUUCUAAGACACGUGUCUUAUUUUCAUUUUUAAUUUUCCUCCUCACUUAGCACUCUUUGUACUGACAAAUGCUUAUUUAUCAUCUUUUUUUUAUCAAGAAUAGCUUGGAAGGAGUAAGAAGAGCCUCUAUAAAACGAGAUCAUUCCCUUGAGUAUGUUUUUCUUGAUGACUUGCAGGUCGUGCUGGCUUAGUUUCUUUCUCCAGAAGGAUUCCAGAAGGCUGUCUGCCCAUGUCAUAUGCUUUGCUGUCAUUUUGCCCUGGUAGUUUUUUAUUAUUUCCUUUUCAAUGGGAUUCAGGAGGGCUACUUAUGACAACUCUUCCUCAAGUGUGCAGUUUCCUAGUUAGAGAAAGAAAUGGAGCUGCUUGAGGCAGACUCUGGUCUUGUUUGCUUUAGCACAGGAGUGGUUGGAUUUAUGCAGCCUGUAUCCUGGCAAGGGAGAAGUUUUCAUCUCACAGAAGUGUCUGUAACCAAGAGUAAAACAAUUGCAGAACGUUCCCAUUUAGCCUGAACAACUCUUCCAAGCUAUUUGCAAGUCAGUGAUUAAUUAAUGCUCAGAUUUUUUAAUGGACCUGAACCAACGGCACAGCCAGUCAGCUCACAUUGGCCUCCAAGGACAGGCGUGCUUCUGUUAACUAUCUAGCUACAUGCAGAGAGCAAGUCAAGCAAAUAAAUGAAGAAAACAUCGUGAGCCCAAAUACUGUGAAAUGAACCUGGAUCAGGAUGGUGGAAUUGCUCAAAUUUCCUCAAAAUUACAGGCUAAGAUUCAACGUCCAUGUAAGGGAACCCACAGGAUUUAUGCAACCCACAGUCAUGAACAGAGACUACAGAGGCUAUACCCCAUAUUCAGAAGUGAGCUACACUGGCUCACUGAGAAUCUAAAUAAUAUUCAUCUAACCUAACAUUUUCCUGGAGUUGCCUGGUAGAAAUAAACCCAUCUGACAGGGUUGCAGCUGUUGGCUCAUACCCAGAAGGAAUCCGUGUGUUUGUUCAUAUCAGAAGUAUAGAAUAUCAGUCUUGGAAGGAAUCUUCAAAGCAUUUCCUGAGGAUUUAACCAUAUGAUUCCUGUUACUUUUUGACUGAGAGCCAGGCACCAAAUACCGCGCAUAACUGCCCAGAAUCAGAUCAGAUCAGAAUCAGUCCUCUGCUGUGUCUUGUCUCUGACAGAGGCCAAAAGCGGAUGCCUCAGAAGGUAAUAAUAGAAUAAGCAAAUAAUGAUACAUCCCCUGAAUAUUCUCCCUUUGAGAACUGCUUUGAGCAAUUAGUUGUUUGGAUUACCAGAGCUAGAGAUGUUGAUUAUUACCUGUAGUAACACUCAAUGGUUGUCUCCAAUGAACCUGUAUACAUUUUUUAGUGUCCAUAGCACUUCUUUGCCAGGGCUUUCCACAGCUUAGCACUGUCUUGUUUUUUUUAAGGCAUUAACCUGCAGGCAUUAUUUUUUGUGAUUCCUUAUUGCUACACCGGAAGUAUCACUGAUGCCAUCUGCUCUCCCCAUGGUUCUCAGUCCUCAUUUUUUCAUGUUUGAAGCCUCCUAGCUGGCCUAGUUAUUCUCUGAGCACGUAUCCUGUACACUGUGAGUGGAAGAACAUUACUAGAUCAAAAUCAUUCUUUCAUUUCUGGAGUUGAUAUAUCGUCUUAACACAUUCUUUCCAGGUAUCCACAACCAUAUGAGUUGCUAAGCAAUGGAGAAUUAAAUCCAGUGACUCCAACAGCAGGGUUUGUAUUUGCUGUACAUUGUGACUAUUGCUUGUGCUUAGGAUAAAGAUACAAGCACCAGCAUAAGAGAUACGGUUUUCAGGUUCAGAGUACACACUGCAGUCAUUAUGUGUCCAGUUCCUCAUGUGCUUAACCAUCUGUGUGUGUUCUGCUGUACUUUCUCAUUUCCUAAACUUGAGGGGGAUUCAAAGUCUGUUAAGAUAAUUUAAUUUCUGUUGAUCAUACAGUGGAGUGUUGGUGAAGAUAGCCCAGGAACCAGCUACUGCUGAGGGAAUAUGUGGCUUUUAAAAACUACUGUAUUAAAGCAACAUCCCAAAUACCAUAUUUUCUGUCACUAUGAUUGGUGUGCAUCACUCUUUCUCAGCAAAUCAGAUCCUGGAUUGCAUACUCCCACAGUCAGGUCUUGUGUAUGGUUCUGUCAGACCAGUUAUUUCUUUUUCCAAAACUAAGCAACUUUUAUUAAACCAGAAGCUGUCAUCUGAUGCUACAAAAGACCAAAUGAUAAGUGACAGCCCAUUUAUCCUUUCUUCAUACCCCAGUCCCUCAGAAUUCCAGCUUGCAGGUUGGCUACUUGAGAUCUCUUGUGUAGAAAAAAAGGGAUCUGCGGGCAAUAGAUUGUUGCAUGUAGCAAAAGCUAUCUGCAGAUAGUUGGCUGAAACGGUGUUGGAGGAUAUGCAUAAAGUGAUGUAUUUUUCAUUGGAAUUUUUUAAGGUCUGAUAAGUGGUUGGUUCUGGUGGCAGAAUGCAGCCUCAAAAUCCUUGUUUUGGACUGUGUGGCAGUAAUAACUCACUUGGAGAAGCAGCCCAUGACUUCGUCAGUUAGUGGUCGUCCAUUCUCUGAUUCUUGCUGUGAUAUCCAUGAGGAUGUGUGGAUGGGCCCUUCCUGGGCCAAUAGAGUUAUCAUCCUCGUGCCCCUUCUUCCUUGCUUAAUGAUUCCUGUUUGCAUCACAUCCUUCAUGUGUCUGCCAAGUAGAAUUUGUUGCAUUGACUUUCUUUCCAAAGCCUGCCUAGAAGGGCAGCCUUCCUUCAACCAGGAUGCAGAAAAGGACCUGUGUCUCCAGAACCAUCAAUAUUUUUCUUGAGAUGAUAAAUGAACUGCCAAUAAACUAAGGCAGCUGCCAGAU